rnacentral:rRNA from 1 species
AUGGUCGGUGGCCGCGACCACCAACAAGAGGAAUCGCGAGGCGGCGGCGGCGGCACCAAGGGGAAGCCGCAGCCCGUCACUGCCAAGGAAAAGCGGGUCACAGCUAAGGAAGUGUCGGAGUCGAGGAAGCCCGACUACAACCUUAAGAAAGACAUCGAAGUACUAUGGGGAAAGAUGAUAGGUCGUCAUUUGAGCAAGGAGGAUAUAAUCAAGCUAGUUACCGAGGCCCUCCGUAAAAUGGAUUGGAAAUAUUUGGAAUUUCUGGAUCCCAUACAUGUGUGUAGUGGUUCUCACACUCAAGAGAGUGGCAAGGUUAGGACGCAUAUUAUCAGAAUCUUGAAGAAGCAGAUUAUGAAGCUUGAUGUCAGUGAUUAUGGAUGCCUUGUUCUAUUUGAAGAGCUGACAAAGCAGUUAAAGGAAAUCAUAUUGAUAAGCUUAAACAGGUCCAUCUUUGACCAAGUAUAG